rnacentral:rRNA from 1 species
GACGAACGCUGGCGGCGUGCCUAACACAUGCAAGUCGAACGAGACCUCCGGGUCUAGUGGCGUACGGGUGCGUAACGAGUGAGGACAUGCGCUAAGGGUGGGAAUACCUCCCUGACGGGGGUGAUAAUCCCAGAAAAUGUGUUCGGACCCAGGAUUUAUCGCCUUUGGCUGGGCACGAGUUGGUUUAGCCUGUUGGGAGGGUAAAAGACUACUAAGGCGUCGCUCCAUAGCUGGUCUGAGAGGAUGAUCAGCCACACUUGGACUGGGACACGGCCCAGACUCCUACGGGAUGCAGCAGUGGGGAAUAUUGGAAAAUGGGCUAAGGCCUGAACCAGCACUGCCGCGUGAGUGAUGAAGUUCGUAGGGUAGUAAAGCUCUUUUACCCGGGAUGAGAAUGACAGUACCGGGAUAAUAAGCGCCGGCUAACUCCGUG